rnacentral:rRNA from 1 species
UGACUUGUGGCUGGGGGUGAAAGGCCAAUCAAACCGGGAGAUAGCUGGUUCUCCCCGAAAGCUAUUUAGGUAGCGCCUCGUGAAUUCAUCUCCGGGGGUAGAGCACUGUUUCGGCAAGGGGGUCAUCCCGACUUACCAACCCGAUGCAAACUGCGAAUACCGGAGAAUGUUAUCACGGGAGACACACGGCGGGUGCUAACGUCCGUCGUGAAGAGGGAAACAACCCAGACCGCCAGCUAAGGUCCCAAAGUCAUGGUUAAGUGGGAAACGAUGUGGGAAGGCCCAGACAGCCAGGAUGUUGGCUUAGAAGCAGCCAUCAUUUAAAGAAAGCGUAAUAGCUCACUGGUCGAGUCGGCCUGCGCGGAAGAUGUAACGGGGCUAAACCAUGCAC